CCAUAUCCACCCGAAGUGGCCACCACGAGGCCCCUCCUUCCUCGGGAUCGUAUCCCCCUCCGCCAACCAACUAGAAGCACCGCGAUCCAAAAUCCCUCGUGGCUCCGACCACCUCCCUCGUCUUGUGCACCGGCCCAAUAGAGUUCGCUCGUGGCCCCGAGCGCCUUGCGCUGCCGCGCCGAUCAGCAGCAACAGGUUAUCGUGCCCGUCGCCCCCUCCUUCCAUAUCUUCCUUCCUCUAGCUCUCCCUCCCUCUCACUUUCUCUCUCUUUUGUCUCAGUUCCGCAGGAGUUCUCGUCCAUGCCGCGUGGAGAGAGCGCCAAAAUCACCUCGUCCACGGCGACCAAGGCAUCUAGCUGCAACCUCGCAUGAGCAGGUGCAACAUCCAACGUCCUUUUUGUGUCCUGCUCGUGGACACGACCAUCCCCGGUGACCAGCACCAUGCCUCACCCUUCUUUUCUAUUUCCUCCCGUUUCCCUCCCAUGCUCUCCCUCUCUCUGAUAAUCUUCUCUGAAUCUCUCUGAAUCAAGAGUAACUACCCCAUGGCCGCGAUGGAUGGACGUCGCUGUUUGACCCAGCCGACCACCUUCAAUGCACCGCCAAGUGCCGGAUCUGAAGGGAAUGAGUCGGUCCGCCCGUUCAUGACCUCCGCCGUAGCCCGAGGUCGCCUCCAACCACCGCAAGCCUCGCCUCCAGCCACAGCAAGCCUCGCCUUUGCCGCCCCGAGGUCCGGUUUCCUUACCCAGUUCUCUAAAUCCUCAAAGGGAAGGCUUCACCUUCCUUCCGUUCAAAUGAAACACAACUCUUAUUUUGAAAGCAGACAUGACUGUAGCUCAUUGGCUAGCACCACUCGUUUUCAUCCAAGGGAUCUUGGGUUCAAACGCAGCGC
rnacentral:lncRNA from 1 species